rnacentral:misc_RNA from 1 species
GGGGAUCUCACCCUCGGUGCUGAAGACCAUGUGCCAUGUCUCGCCGGGCGCGUCGUCGGCGGUGAUCUUGGUGUUGAGGAGGCACUUGCCGACGUAGGGCUCCUUGGGCCUGUACUUGUUGGUGACGACGCCCUCGUCAUGCUUCUUGGAUAUCUUCUCCUUCUUGGCCGGCGCGGCGGCGACGGCGGCGGCGUCGGUGGUGGACACCUGCGCGCGCAGCAGCAGGCCGCGCUGGUGGGCGGCUCUGGUUCUUGGC